AUUGAACGCUGGCGGCAUGCCUUACACAUGCAAGUCGAACGGUAACAGGUCUUCGGAUGCUGACGAGUGGCGAACGGGUGAGUAAUACAUCGGAGCGUGCCUAGUAGUGGGGGAUAACUACUCGAAAGAGUGGCUAAUACCGCAUGAGAUCUACGGAUGAAAGCAGGGGAUCGCAAGACCUUGUGCUACUAGAGCGGCCGAUGGCAGAUUAGGUAGUUGGUGGGAUAAAAGCUUACCAAGCCGGCGAUCUGUAGCUGGUCUGAGAGGACGAUCAGCCACACUGGGACUGAGACACGGCCCAGACUCCUACGGGAGGCAGCAGUGGGGAAUUUUGGACAAUGGGCGCAAGCCUGAUCCAGCAAUGCCGCGUGCAGGAUGAAGGCCUUCGGGUUGUAAACUGCUUUUGUACGGAACGAAAAGCCCCGGGUUAAUACCCUGGGGUCAUGACGGUACCGUAAGAAUAAGCAUCGGCUAACUACGUGCCAGCCGCCGCCGUAA
rnacentral:rRNA from 1 species